UGCAUUAAACAAGGUUGAUGA
rnacentral:siRNA from 1 species